AGAAUAGCUGGGACACGAACUGGCGCCCAUAUGGGUUGCUGGCCCUGCAGGACAGAGGAUUAGCCCACUGUGCCAUCCCACUGGCCUUAAGAAAUGAAUGUUAAUAAAUAGUCUCUAAGCAGUGUCCGUCAGGUUGAUGCUUCAGAAUGCCCUCUCCCAGCCUGGAUCACGUGGCUCACAUAGCCGCCUAUGGAUGGGAGUUCUUACAUUCAUCCUUCUUGUCCUCACCCAGUGGGACUAGUCUGCCCUGGUGACCCUUCAGAAGUUUGCCAACUUGUCUCCUGGCAGGCACUGUGGAUAAGCAGGGGUCUAGGUGGCAGUAAAGGCACUAAAGUCACUUUAAAGUUUUUACAGUAGGGGAACCUUCUGGCUUAAACAUGCUGUAGCUCAUGGCUGGGGUAUUUACAAUGCUAAGAAUUUCCUUCUCCUGAAUCCUAGGCAGGCUGGUGCUUUACCCUCCCAGGGCCCAGGUUCUUGCUUGAGUGCAGAGCUUUGUAGAGCUCUUUAAAGCUCUAAGAAUCCAACAGGGACCAGGGAAGUGGGACAGGGCCCUUCUACCUGAGCAAAACAGCUACCCUAGUUCGCUUCUCUUCUUGACAUCGAAGUUUUUGGAGAUGUCUCCUGCCAGCCCUAGGCUCAGGAGAGGGCUGAGUUCUAGUGCCAGUUGGCAAAAGGUGGCCAGACUCCCUUCCCUGCAGAGAUUCCCCCACUCCCACACCCACUAAAGGUAGGGAGUGCUGACUGCCUGAUGGGUCAGCUGUGGCCUGCUUAUUUGGGGGUGCUAGGAUGUCCUCAGCUCAUGGCACAGACGGAAGCGAGGCCAGCUGCUUGAAGUAGGCUGCUCUGUGGCAGUUCUGGGGUACACAGGCAGAAGCUCAGGUUCCCCCCGCCCCCUGCCCUGUAGGGACAGUGGGGAGUAUUCGUACAUGCCAGCAGGGUGGAGUUCUCAGGUUUGCAGAAGAUGCCAGGCCUUCUCCCCUGGUGGCUCUGAGGCAGGGAAGUUGGGUCCGGGUGGCAUCUCCUUGGAAUGCUAUAGACCCCUGGCAGUGAAAUGAGGCCUCUGCUUAUGUAGAGGGCAUGGGUUCCUGAUUCCUCCAUUGCUGUCUCCACUCUCAAACCUGCCAAGCUGGUGUGAACUUGGAAGAGGUGGCGGUCCCAAAAGAGGAACUGUCUUGUCUCUCCCCUCAAUCAUGGCCAGCACUGACACUUUUACCUGGUCUGCAGCAGGGCAGGAGAGCCAGGUGAGGUUCACCAGCUUGUUCUGAAAGCAAGCAGGCCACACUGGAAAGCUUGAGCCUGUCUGAGGUGUCGCCUGCUCCCAGGUGGUGCGGGGGCUGGGGGGCGGGUGGGCAGGCACAUUGACAGCCGGCGGUUUGCGUGGGCUGUGCCAUCUGAUGUCUAUUCCCAGCCAUGGGAGGAAGGGGGGUUGUUUAUAUUCCCUAGGAGGAAGGGACCUUGCUGCCGCCUCUCUGACCAGUGUGGCAGAAGCGGGGAGUGCAGGGCAAAGGGGAGGGCACAGGUGGUCUCCUGAUUAGUUGAGUCUGAGUGCAGUAUAGGGAGGGGUCACCAGGGGGAGCCCUUUCUGGCAGGCCAGAUUGCUAGGGUGGUGCUGCCUCACCGCCCAGCUUUUGGUAUCUUCCCCUAUCACCACCUGCCCUCUCAUGCUGGGGCAGAAGCUGGACCCUCCCCCACCCCCUGCCCCCAUCAAACCUCAGUGCCAGGAAACUCUUCCUCCAGCUGGGAUCUUGGCGUCUGCCAGCUGCCUGUGCCUCCUGCUUGAGUCUUCUUCCUCCCUGCACCCUCCCUUCUCCCCAUCUUCCUGGAUGUUCCAUGUCUGGGGUAGGAGCUGGGUUCCUCAGCAACAAGCCAGAGGUACUGGUGGCAGAAGCAAAGAUCUGCCCUUUUGCUCUUGUUGCUGGGCUGGGGAAAGCCGCUAGUAGAAAACAAAACAAACAACAACAACAAAACAGGGUGCUCAGAUAAAAAAAAAAUCACUUACACGUUUUGCCUAUCAUUUGCACAAAUUUCCAUAUCAGGCUCACCAAGUCCUGAUUCCAAAUUUGAUUAUGUACCAUGUUUGAUUAUAUUCAGACUCAACCUUGAGGACAUCAGAAAUGUGGAUGGUGUUUGUAUCCAAAUCCAAAUGGUAAUAAGGUUGCUAUUUUGGGUUUGGAAUACCCUCCUAAGCCCCAGUCUUUCCUGUACCCACCCCUUCUUCCUCUUGAGACCGCCUUGGCUGCAGCUGGUGUAGAAUGGCAGGAGUUCCAAGCCCUGUCUGAGGAAGUCUAACAGGGAUCACCUUGCCUGUUCAGCUGCCAUCACCGGCCCUGUCAUAGGGGAUGGGGCCGACUAACCCUUCCCCACUGUCCCUUUUUUGUCAUUAUCCCCAGCCCUGCACUUCCAUGCCUGGAUGCUGUGGGUCUUGUUUUGAAAACCUCACAGAGGGAGAUCCAGGCAUGCACUGGGAGCCAGCUGGCUGCUGAGCCGAGGCCUGUUCAGAGUUAAUAAUAAUCAUUAGCUGAAUGAUGCUGGGACCUUUCAGCUCCAGAUCCCUAAGCACUUGCGUACUGAGUCAGCCAGCCUUCACUUUCCCCCUCUGCCUGGCCCCGAAAAGGGAGGCCCUGUGGGAGUUGGGGGUGGGGGUAGUCAGGAGUGUUGUCGCCUAGCCAUGCCCUGAGGUACCCCUCUCCUGCAGGUGGGCACUGAGAGCCACUGUCAGCGACCUACCUUGGUUGGCUUUGCAUCCGAUGAAGGUCAGGCUGUGUUGGGAAUACCAUGUGUGUUUGGCAAUGACUGGCAGUAGCAGCAGCAGCAGCAGCAGCUGUUCACCCCAAAUCUUUGCUACCCUCCUCUGCCUCCAGAGGGCAUCUGUAAUCCUGAGGCCCCUUCUGCAAACUCAGGGAACUGGAAAAGUUGGGGUCCUUUGCAUGUGGUGCCUCUUUAUCUGACUGGCAUUAAGAUCCUGCAUGUUAUGAAAUGAAAGGCGCAUUGUCUCCGGGAGCAGGCAGCAGUGUGGGUCUCCAUCAGGUUCUCAUCCCUGUGUAGCCACGGGCAGAUCAACUCACUGCUCCACCUACCUCACAGGGCUGUUGUGGGGGGUUAGAUGCCAGAAAGGAAUGUUUGCAGGCACUGGAAAACAAACAUUAAACAGAUGUAAACAGGUGGUGUAA